AUUGUUUUAUGGUGUGCAUUAAUGUAGUAAACUCUAAUAAACACUCGUGUAAAGGUUUCUUUUUAAUCCACUUAUUCAUUUAAAAAUUAUUUAUCUAAAAUAGUAAAAUAAGAUAAUUUUUGUUGCUUAAGCUAUUGUAAGUCAAAUUUUUCUUUUUUAUAUUUAUUCACUUAAUUGCAGAAAAUGCAAAUAUUUACACCCAAAAAUAAGCAAGCAACCAAGAAGACUACUAAUGAGGGGUUCACAUGCCUUUCGGAACGGAACGGGACGCUGGGUUCACUUUCUUUCCGGAACGGAACGGGGCACGGGACAGAUUAGCUCCCGAUCGAGUGGCAUCGCAAUUUGUCUAAUUGGGUGAUGAAAAAAAAAGGCGAAGUUUCCUCGUAUGGUAAGCCCUGUUCGGUUCCACGUGUCGCUCCUUCUCGGACGAGAAGAGAGAUACAGACAACGCUCCAACACACAUUACUUUAAUUUGACAAAUACACUUCCGCCCAUCGCGAAGGAUCAGCCGGAUGGCUUCCUUUCCUGAGAUUCGCGAAGACGACGGAGGAUAACAGCCAAAGUCAAGCUAUGGCACUUUCUGCCACGGGUCCAGGGACUUUCCUCAGAGCGAUAAGAGUCAUUUCAGACUCAGAAUGUGGCUCCGCGGUGUUUCCCGAGGGAACUUCGAGAGGCUCUUUCCGAUGCAUUAUAUAAAGAGAAAUAUGGCUCGACAAGCACUAACGAGAAACGUGAAAAAAUAAAGAAAAAUGUAAAUUUUUAUUAAUAAUUACUUAUAAUAUUGAAUUUUA